CGGCGGGGCUCGAACUCACGAGCUGUGAGGUCUUGACCUGAGCUGAAGUCAGAUGCUUAACCGACUGAGCCACCCAGGUGUCCCCCUGCCCCUUCUUUCUUAAUCCCACGCCAGUCAGGCUUCUGCAUGUCCCUGUACGCCCGACCCUGUCUUGUGCAGAUCUCCAGGAUGCUGUCACACGCAGUGAGCAUUCUAGGGCCUCAUCGCCCUGGACCAUCAGCAGCACCCCGGGGAGCUGAUCACCUCCCGCCCUAGUCCAGACUCUUUCUGGAACUGCAGAUUCCUUGUCCACCUGCUGACGAGACACUCCCACUGAGGCGACGUCUCUGGCACAGUAGGCCCGCAGUCAGUGGCCACCGCCACCUCCAGACCUUCUCUCCCACAUCUCCCUGGGUGCAGGGAGGGCCUGGCAGUGCUGCCCUUCCCGGUGCUCAAGUGCUCAGGCUCACGGCGUCUCCCUGGCUCCUCUCGACCCUGCGUCCCAACCGCCCGCAGCCCUGUUGCGGACGGCCUCGCAGGCCUUGCAGACAGGCCCCCAGUAUGCUGCUCGUGCCCUGUCCGGCUUCCUGGGCUCUGCUGCAGCCUUGUCCCUAGCCUCCUUCCUAGCAGCCCCACCCGCCUGUCCCUCGGGAGGUGACCUGCUCUGUUGGGUGCAGUGUGUGUUUGGGCCUUCUUGGGGAAUCUCUGCGCUGGCCACUUCCCACUCACCUUCCCUGCUCUUGGCCUUCCUCUCCAGUUACCCUUUCUCCCGGCUUUGUCACCUUCUCUACCCCCAUUCCUGGAACAGCGCCGGGCGCAGACCCUCACAACAAAUACUCGCCCGAGGAAGCAGCUCGAGGUGGGAAGGCUCCCCCCGCUUGCAGCCCCAGCACCCCUGACCCGACCCCACUACCCCUCGCGACAAGCAGAGGUGGAACCAGAGCCGGCUUUGGAAAAUGACAUGUUUUAUUGCUA